GUGAGGAAUUUUCCGCAAUGGGCGAAAGCCUGACGGAACAAUGCCGCGUGAAGGAUGAAGGCCUAUGGGUUGUAAACUUCUUUUCUCAGAAAAGAAUUAUGACGGUAUCUGAGGAAUAAGCAUCGGCUAACUCUGUGCCAGCAGCCGCGGUAAGACAGAGGAUGCAAGCGUUAUCCGGAAUGAUUGGGCGUAAAGCGUCUGUAGGUUGUUUAAAAAGUAUUCUGUCAAAGAUUAGGGCUUAACCCUAGAUAGGCAGAAUAAACUUUUAAGCUAGAGUUUGGUAGAGGCAGAGGGAAUUCCCGGUGGAGCGGUGAAAUGCGUAGAUAUCGGGAGGAACACCAAAGGCGAAGGCACUCUGCUGGGCCAAUACUAACACUGAGAGACGAAAGCGAGGGGAGCAAAUGGGAUUAGAAACCCGGGUAGUCC
rnacentral:rRNA from 1 species